CUAGUUGGUGAGGUAACGGCCCACAAGGCGACGAUCGGUAGCCGGACUGAGAGGUUGAACGGCCACAUUGGGACUGAGACACGGCCCAGACUCCUACGGGAGGCAGCAGUGGGGAAUAUUGCACAAUGGGGGAAACCCUGAUGCAGCGACGCCGCGUGGAGGAAGAAGGUCUUCGGAUUGUAAACUCCUGUUGUUGGGGAAGAUAAUGACGGUACUCAACAAGGAAGUGACGGCUAACUACGUGCCAGCAGCCGCGGUAAAACGUAGGUCACAAGCGUUGUCCGGAAUUACUGGGUGUAAAGGGAGCGCAGGCGGGAAGACAAGUUGGAAGUGAAAUCCAUGGGCUCAACCCAUGAACUGCUUUCAAAACUGUUUUUCUUGAGUAGUGCAGAGGUAGGCGGAAUUCCCGGUGUAGCGGUGGAAUGCGUAGAUAUCGGGAGGAACACCAGUGGCGAAGGCGGCCUACUGGGCACCAACUGACGCUGAGGCUCGAAAGUGUGGGUAGCAAACAGGAUUAGAUACCCUGGUAGUCCACACUGUAAACGAUGAUUACUAGGUGUUGGAGGAUUGACCUCUUCAGUGCCGCAGUUAACACAAUAAGUAAUCCACCUGGGGAGUACGACCGCAAGGUUGAAACUCAAAGGAAUUGACGGGGGCCCGCACAAGCAGUGGAGUAUGUGGUUUAAUUCGACGCAACGCGAAGAACCUUACCAAGUCUUGACAUCCUGCGACGGUGCUGGAAACAGUACUUUCCUUCGGGACGCAGAGACAGGUGGUGCAUGGUUGUCGUCAGCUCGUGUCGUGAGAUGUUGGGUUAAGUCCCGCAACGAGCGCAACCCUUAUGGUCAGUUACUACGCAAGAGGACUCUGGCCAGACUGCCGUUGACAAAACGGAGGAAGGUGGGGAUGACGUCAAAUCAUCAUGCCCUUUAUGACUUGGGCUACACACGUACUACAAUGGCGUUAAACAAAGAGAAGCAAGACCGCGAGGUGGAGCAAAACUCAGAAACAACGUCCCAGUUCGGACUGCAGGCUGCAACUCGCCUGCACGAAGUCGGAAUUGCUAGUAAUCGCAGAUCAGCAUGCUGCGGUGAAUACGUUCCCGGGCCUUGUACACACCGCCCGUCACACCAUGAGAGCCGGGGGGACCCGAAGUCGGUAGUCUAACCGCAAGGAGGACGCCGCCGAAGGUAAAACUGGUGAUUGGGGUGAAGUCGGAACAAGGUAGCCGUAGGAGAACCUGCGGCUG
rnacentral:rRNA from 1 species